rnacentral:tRNA from 1 species
GGGGAUUUAGCUCAGCGGCAUGAAUGCCUGCCUGGCAAGCAUGAGGUCCUGAGUUUGAUCCUAGGUAUCCCUG